UAAAAAGUCAAAACAAGUUAGUCACCUUCAGAGUUCAUCUUUGUUUUUCUACGUAGCAAUUACUCACAAGUCACAAAAACCAUUCAGUUAUGAUUUAGUUUUGGCAUCUAAAUCCAAAGUUCACUUUUUGCAUUCACCUCUAGUGGCAUCAAACUCCAUAUACAAUUAUCAGAUAAGUCUGAUGAUUUGAAGUGUGCAUAAAUGUCUAAGGAUUACAUGUUUCUACAGCAUUCCAAUAUAAAGGAGGGGUUUUAAAUGCUUAAAUAAAUUACAAACCCAUACAUAACUGUAAGUGUUCACAUUGGCAUUGGAAAAUAACUUCCAUAUUUAAAGAAGCUUUACUGUUGUUGAGGAACAAGAGAAUUAGUUAAAAAAAGGUUAUUGUGAAUUGCUCCAGUUGAAGAAAGCAUGUGAUUUAAAUUCUCAGUGACUUGUUUGAGAGUAACAGAACAACCUUAUGACUCCUAAUGAUAAAAGAUUUUCAAAAAAGCUAGUAAGAGACAGAAUUUGUAUAUUAAAGUAUAGCCCUUUGAAGUUAUUCAGGCUCACAUGCCUCCCACAAUUUUCCUGCACACCAGUUUCAGAAUAACAUUUAUCAAUUUCUAAUCUUAGAGGACCAAUAUAAAACACCACACAAUAGAAAAGCUUACAAACAUAAACACAACACAUGGAAGGGAGAAACCUCUGUAUGCUGUAUGAUUCUUUGUGUCAAGAGUCUUUAAAAUAUUGUGACCACACAAUGUUGAUGUCUUUUAUCAUGGCAGCAUACAAUUGGAGCAUUGCUGGUAUAGUCUGCCAGGAAAACAUGGAUUUUCAAACAGAGAUUAGAGAGGAUCAAGACAGAUAAAAUCAUCAUGCCUUUAUGGUUUAUUGAUAUAAUUUCUAUUUGCAUGUAUGCAUACACAAAUAAAGAACCAGCUUCUUGAAUUUACACUUUUCCAGGACUUUGAUUCACCCCUGGAUUUAUGGGGAAAAAGAGAAGGGUUAUCAACACACCACCUGUGUGCUCCAUGAUGCAGAUUUAAGGAUGGGAAUUGCAGGAGACAUAAGCAAGUGCAGCAGAGAACGCCGUCAGAGGACAUGGAGAUGUACUCAAUAGGAGACCCCAAACGAGGCAGGAAAUCCUUCUGGCAUGAAGAUUCAUUGUGCCACUGGACUAGAACAGCUUCAACUCCACCACUCAGCAACCUGGUUCCUUUUCCAGAAACAAAAUACAGUUAAAAGGCUUUGCUUAAAAAGAAAUAAAAUCAACAGCCUGUGUCUUUACAACAGA